rnacentral:lncRNA from 1 species
GGGCUUGGUGGGAGGAGGUUAGAGACGGAAAGAAAGAAAUGGUAACCGAACCAGUGGAGCGGAUAAGGACUCAGCGACACCAGUGGCCCGCUACUCAGGGCACACCUGCCCCUUCGUCGGCUACAUCCCACCAUCACCACCACCAAUGUCAACUCCAGUCCCUUCACACACCCGAUACCCCUUUGUCACCCCCUCCAGGAAGUCCGCAGUCCCCAAGCUGGUGCGCCACCCCACCCCCUUCGCGCUCCUCACCGACCUGUUGUGCGCAGAAGACGAACUGGGGGUGGGGUGGGGGAACCGGGCCCCAUCUCUAGCAGAGACCCCAAUCCCGCCAAUCCCACAGGCCUGCGCUCCCUG